UCACUCCAUCUUUCUCCAGGGCAAUACAAUGUGCUUCCUGCACCAGUUCCCAAGUACGCGUCCAGGAGCUUUGUAUUUCGUUCUACAGUUCAAAGAUUCCCAACAGGCUACUUUAUUCCUCAUGAAGGCCCGGGACCAGGUCAUUAUAAUGUGAAAACACCUUUAACAAGUUCUGUCACUUCCUGUUUUCAAUCCAGAGUACCUCGAUUCUUGUCCAGCUAUUCAAAAACCCCAGGCCCAGGAGCAUAUACGUCUUCAGAGCAGUUCCCGAAGCAGUCUCCAACCGUCGCCAGGAUGGGCCGAGAACACAGCCUUUUCUUCAACAACACCAUCGGCUUUUAAAAUAAAGCAGUCUUGGCAC